rnacentral:lncRNA from 1 species
GGGCGGGGACCCUCGGAAGCCAGCUGGGUGGCGAUCGCUUGUCUGCCUUGGCAGGCCCCUUGUGCAGUCUUUUCCCGGCGUGAGCGUGCAGGGAUUGAAAAGGAAUGCUUUAUGGUUCAGCAGAGAGCCACCACGCAGGAUGCACUGGGACCUGAGAACCGUCGGGCAGUCCCACGAGCUCUUUCAUGACCAGCUCCAACCGACAAGUACACGCCCCUUCGCACUCCACUAGCUAGUAAGCUGAGCUACAAGGUGUGCCAGGCACCCAGGACGCCGAUUCACCGCUUCAGAGCCCUCUUUCUUCCAUUCACUUACCUGUCUAGUCAAACACCCAUCAGACCUUUGCCAGGUGUCCAGCCUGGGCACUACGUUUCAGAAAAUGAUGCACAUAGAAUCCCUAACUGAAAGGAGAUCGCAGCUCAUUUGGUACAAAGUGGUAACGGCAGAGUCCCAAAACACAUGAAGCAAGAACUGACAGAACUGGAGGGAGACAUCAAUCAAUAACAACAGUUGGAGAAUUCAAUACCCUGCUCUGAAUAAUGGAUAGAACAAUUAGGCAGAAGACCAACAAAGAAAGAGGAUAUUUGAACAACGUGAUAAGCCAAUUUGACCUAAUAAAUAUCUUUAUCUGUGAAACACCCUAGCUUUUAGCCUGGGUAAGGAGCUGGAGAGAUGUGAAAAUGUGGAAAGCAAGCCUAAGUCGCAGUGUGGCCUAUGCCUGAGAGCCAUCUUCAGUGCCCCCUUGUGGCUGUAUCUGGGAACCACAGACAGAAUCAUGGAACUGACCAUCUUCAGUCUCAAAGUGCUGCCCUCACCACUACACCCAGGGGCAGGUGGUCUUCGGGGGAAAGGCGGUUCCAGUUCCUUCUCCCAAGGUAACAACUCCCAUCCCAAGGCAAUGUUCACAGAACCUAUCAGAGUCCCCCCUGCCCUAUGCACAGCUUAAGACCAGGGUGGUCUCAGCUCUGAUCAGGCCACUGAGGGCAUCUGUCUGAGAUUUGGGACCCAGUUAUUGUCCCUGUUCUUCUUAGGCAGAUGGCGGAGUUCCCCAGUACACAGAAGGUGCUCACUCUUCACAAAAAGCAGUGCUUGAGAAUAACAGCCUACCUUGGUGGAGUAGCUUCGUUAGGGCCAGGGCUUGACUUGAAGCCAGAGACUGAGGUUGCAGUCCAGCCUUGGGUCAGCCUCAGGCUGGGGCUGGGGUGAUGCUGAGACCCUCACCAGAAAAAAGGCCUUUACCCCAUCCGAAAGGAAAUGGCUAUCCUCUGACCUGAGCACUCUAGCCUGAGGCCUGCCUGGCGCUAGAAGCCAGCCUCUGUUGUCCCCUCCCAGCACUCCUCCCACUGCUCUGCCUUUCUGCCCACAUAGAAACUCUGGAGACACCAGCUCCCCACCCUUCCAAGCUAAGCCCCACUGCUGUCUCUGCCUCCUCCAUCUUUCAAACCGGCAAUGUUUUUCCAAUCAGGCCUCCCUAUCCUUCCCCUACUGCUCUGCCCUUCACUGCCUUCCUUUCCUGGCGACUCUCAGCCGCCCUUCAAGGCCCAGCUCAGGCGUUCUUUCCUCAGUGACGCACCCCCGGGCAGGCUGGGGCUUCUGGCACAGCUCUGGCCACCCUGCGUAUCUUCAGCUGUUCCCAAUGUUUGUCUCUGCUCCCAAGUAGCUCUCUCACAGUUUCUGGCACAGAGGAGUUGGCCCUGAGGGGGAUGAACAGCAAGGACAGGCAGGACAGUUCUGGCAGUAAGGAAGUUAGAACAAGGUCCUUUGGUCUCGGCUAGGAAGGGUUCCCAGGUGCUUAGUACUCACUGAACAGAAAGGAAUUAGAAAAGAGGUGGCAUCUUGUAAUCGCUAGGGUGACAGCAGGCCAGGCCUCUGCCUUUUUGGUAGAGCUGAGGCCAGGGGCAGGGAACACAGCUUGAGUGACCCAUAAGGAGCCUUCCAGCUCAGCCACCCAAGGGCCCCCCAGCUGGACAGGAGCCCUUUACCACAUGGUAGGCAUCAUGUCAAGUGGCUCCCAAUGACCCCUGCCCCCUGGCAUCCAUUCCCUGGUGUAAUCCCCUCCCGUCCAGUGGGAGCUGGACCGAGCAAUGUUCAUUUAAUGAACAGAAUAUGGCAAAAGUGACAGGAUAUCACUUCCCAGGUUAGGUUAUAAGGGCCUGGGACUUCCGUCUUGCUCGCACACUUCACUCCACUCACUGGCUCUUCUUGCUAAGUAAGCUGGUGUGCCGUGAGCUACCCCAUGGAAAGGCCCAUGUGGCAAGGAACUGAAAGUGGCCUCUGUCAACAGCCAGUGAGGAAGUCAAUCCUGCGAACAACUGCAGGAACGGCCUUGGGAGUGGAUCCUUCCUCAGCCCGGCUCCAAGACAACUGCAGCCCUGUGAGAAACCCUGAGUGGAGGACCAAGCCAAGCCUCAAAUCGUGACUUGGAACUGGGAGACAACAGAUGCUGUUGGAAGCCACUGAGCUCUGAAGUAGUUUGUUACACAGUGACAGGUAACUUACACACCAUGGCAGGGUCAUGUGG